rnacentral:lncRNA from 1 species
ACGAAUGGGUUUUCUUAAAAAAAUUAAAACUCACUGCGGGUUGCGGGUGAAUUUAAUAAUUUAAAUUUUGUGCAGAUUUAAAUUUAAUAAUGAUAAACUCGCUGUGGGUGUGGGUGGUACUAGGGAUGGCAAAAUCCUCCACGGGUUUGGGGCCCCAUGGAGCUCCACCUCAAAUGGGGAAAAUUUUUAAUAAUUUUUGGGGAAUGGGGUGGGGAGUGAGAGAAAAAUAAUCCCCAAAUUGUUAACGAGGUGAGGUUUGGUAUUGCACUCCCCACCCCACCUCCACCCCAAUCCCCAUUAUAUAUAAAUAUGUUAAUAAUUUUUAUUUUAUCAACUAUAAUGUCAAUUAAUAAUUUUUUAAUUUUUAUGUAAUAUAAACAUAAUAUGAGUAAAAGAAAACCCUACAAUAUUUUUUAAUUUUAAAAUAUUAUUAUAAAAUUAUAUUUUCUUUUCUCUUUUAAAGUGCUGCUCUCUUUAAAUAUUUUUCACUUUUAAUAUCAGUUUAAGAUAUUAUUUCAAACUUUUAGAGAUUUUAAAAAAAAUUUAAAUACUUUAUAAUAUGGUGAUGAUUUUAUUUUAAGUCUAAUUUUUAAUUUACUGAAAUCAUAUUUUUAUAUCUACUAUAAAAUAAGUAAAUGUGGAAUGAGGUGGGUAUGGAGGAAUCAUUCACCACGUGGGGAUUCUCCAUCCCCAACCCACUAAAUUUGUUGGGGAAUAGGGUGGGGAAUGGAGGCAAAAAAUUUUAAUGGGGUGGAGAAUGAGGUAGGCAUUCCCACCCCCACCCCGCCCCAUUGCCAUCCCUAGGUGGUACCCAUUGCCAUGCCUACUUACCCUUAAAAGAAUAUUUAGCACCAACAAAAAGAAAGGAGAAGAAAACCCAUCCACACAAUUCUUAAAAAAGGACUCUCACGAACAAAGCUUUAGGAACGUACCUCGACCUCGAGGGGGGAUUGCAGCUUCACGCAAACUUUUGACUUUGAAACUACAGUCACAAAAUCAUUUGCCAAAUCCGGCCUCUCGCACGAGGAGUUGUCAUAAUUCACACGAGAGCCCAUUGAUCCUUGACAAUUAUUAUUAUUUGGUGCAUUUUUUUUUUUAUAUAUAAAUGAAAAUUGAUUAAAAUCACUUGAAUAUAUUACGUUCGUCCGUUUUUCAAUUUUUGCACGCAAUUCAUCUCUCAAAAACAAAGGGAGAGAGCAGUCCUUUUCCUCGUUAUUAAAUUGACUUUCUUUUUCUUUAAUUCUUUAAUUGUUCGAGUCUUUUUCUUGACCCUUAAACUUAUCCAAGUUGAAUGACAAUUGCGUUGUUAGCUUUGAGGUUACUAUGUGAUAUUUUCUUCAUAAAUAAGUUCUAGAUACGGAAUCAACAAGAGAACUACCCAACAGAUAACAUUAAAAAAGAAAAAGAAAAAGAGAAGAGUAGGAAUUUAAGAUUAUGACGCAGCAAAGAACAAUUAAUUAAUUCCAAGCACAUGCAUAUACGUACAUAUGUGAAUAGAACUUAUUGACAUGUCUCGUACUUAAUUUUACUCUUUGAAAAUUGGAAGACGUUCCUUGCUGAACAACGACUCUUAUUCUCUUAAUCUCAUGUCACGUAUUUCACAACGUAUUCAUCAUCACUUCACAUGUUAACAAGUAGUGGUCAUCAAUCGUUUUGCCUAACAAUGCUCCUUUUUUGGCAUAGUUGACUCAUCUCAAUCAUCCAUCCUCCAAUUAAAAACUCCCAAAAUAAUUUUUGAAACGCUCAUCCUUUGGAGAUUUUAUAGAGCAUGGUCCUUGAGUUUUCUUAAGGUAUAUGCAUUACAAGCAUGUUCUUAUAUAACAAGUAACAUUUAUUUAUUUAUUUAUUUUAUUGGGCUCUCAGUGGCUUAAAUGAAUGAUUUUUAAACAGUUUUCUUUAGUUAAUCGCCGAGUUCGAAUAGGGAUUAAAUUUUUUUAGCUUCAUCAAGCCCUGUCUUUUUUCUAUAAAAAAAAAAAGGUUACAUUUUAAUUUUCAAAGUUUCACAUUAAAUUUGUCGGUCGAAUUCUACAGUAUUUAUUGCGAGUUGACUUGAUAUUCUGAUACAAUGUUGAUAUCUUUGCUGCCGGCCGAUCAAUCUCAUCCUCGUGUUUGUUAUCUUAGUUAAGACUUCUAAGAAAUGCAUCAAUGGUUUUACCGAGGCUAUUGCUUAUGAAGCAUUACAAGUAAUUAUCGGCUGGUUGGAAUGAGCUUGAAUUGGACUAGCUAGCGGGCUUAGAUAAGGCGUUCGUGCAUAGAUUAAUUUACAUGCGCUUGCUUUCAUCUCCAUCUUUUGACGGAUCGAUGGAAAAUUAUUAAAAGCACUUAUUAUUACGCACACACAUUUCCCACGUUGUCAUUUGUGUGGAAUCAUCUAAAUGGCCGACCCAUCAUGUGAUUUUUCCUAAUCCUUCACAUGAGAUAAUUUUUUUAUUUUAUUUUUGCACAUAAAACAUGUGACUGAAUGAAUGUGUGGCUGAGAAAUAAGACUGUUCCUUUAGAGUAUGACUUGUGAGUAGCAUUGAAAGCUCCCAAAGCGACGCCCUCUUUUAUCGUUUCCCAUAUAUGACAGUGCACAAUCCGAUGAAAUGAAGCUUCUAUUUAUCUUUUCACUCCUUCAUUUGAAUAAGUUGGUUGCUUACAAUAAAGUCAAUGUUCGGUACUCUGUGAAUGCAAUAUCUAGUGCAUUGUCAAUUUUCAUCUCAUCAAUAAAUAUUCCCUCCACUCUUCCAUUUGUAUCACAUGCCAAAAUUCUUUAACACAUUAUUGCAUGAUAAAUGCCGCGAUUAUGAGUCGUUAAUACAAUGCUUAAAUGAUGAUGAUCAUCGCAACAUUAAGAAUGAGGGUGAUUAAUCUAAAGAGAACCAUGUGGUAACAUGUUAGAUAAGUGGGUGAGUUUUUGACGAGCACGUGAAGAGAUUGCUUACGGCCAGUGCAAGUGUUAAUUAGCCGAUCACGUCGGAGUUCAGUUUUGCAUGGACAUGCACAAAAAUAGGUAUUAUUUAAAAGCUUUAAUGUGAAGUGCCAAAAAUAGUUAGCUUGUCCGUCUAGGUGGCGAACGGUUAUUGGUUUCCUUUGGUACUUGUAUGGCUAUGCAUGCAUCUAUUUUCAUGUCACAUGUGCAUGUCUAAGUACCUUGACAAUUUGUUAUUUCACAAUUAUGUUACAGCGUAACACUUAUUGAUUAUUACUGAUAUUACGUUUUUUUUUAUUAAGACUAAUAAUUAACACAGUAUCAAAAUGUCAUUCAACCUAGAAAUACUCUGUUUAAUCGGGAUUAAAAUUAUUUAUUUUAUUAAUUAUAUUUUUGAAACCUUAGUGAUGAGGCUCUCUAUCCUCUUAAAACACACAAUGUUAAGUUUUCUCAUCACUAUAUAUAAGUGGGAUGCUACAU